rnacentral:tRNA from 1 species
GGCAGUGUAGCCUAGUGGAUAGAGCACUGGACGGGGACUCAGGAGAUCUGGGUUCUAUUCCCAGCUCUGCCA